CAAAAAAUAGUUUAGUGUAGAAUACCAGCUUUGGGGGCUGGUGGUGGGGGUUAGAGUCCCUCUUUUUUGA
rnacentral:tRNA from 1 species